rnacentral:rRNA from 2 species
UACAGAGGUCUCAAGCGUUGUUCGGAUUCAUUGGGCGUAAAGGGUGCGUAGGUGGCGCUGUAAGUCGGGUGUGAAAUUUCGGAGCUUAACUCCGAAACUGCAUUCGAUACUGCGGUGCUUGAGGACUGGAGAGGAGACUGGAAUUCAUGGUGUAGCAGUGAAAUGCGUAGAGAUCAUGAGGAAGACCAGUGGCGAAGGCGGGUCUCUGGACAGUUCCUGACACUGAGGCACGAAGGCCAGGGGAGCAAACGGG